rnacentral:rRNA from 1 species
AUUGAACGCUGGCGGCAGGCCUAACACAUGCAAGUCGAGCGAGCGGCGGACGGGUGAGUAAUGUAUGGGGACUGCCCGAUAGAGGGGGAUAACUACUGGAAAAGGUGGCUAAUACCGCCUACUAUCGGAUAACCCAUACGGGAUUAGCUAGUAGGUGGGGUAAAGGCUCACCUAGGCGACGAUCUCUAGCUGGUCUGAGAGGAUGAUCAGCAAGACCAGGACUGAGACACGGCCCAGAGUCCUGCGUGGGCAGCAGUGGGGAAUAAUGGACAAUGUGCACAGGCUUGAUGCAGCCAUGCCGCGCGGAGGCAGAGGGCCUUGGGGUGGUAAAGUACUUUCAUAGGGGAGGCGUUACCCGCAGAAGAAGCGACGGCUAACUCCGUGCCAGCAGCCGCGGUAAUAC